GUCAAAGAAGACCAUAAAUAUCAUCAAGAAACAAAGAGAUAAAUAUGGAAAAAUAUAGCUCCAAUGUAGAAGACAGAGCAAGAUUUUGCCUAUAAUAUUUGAAGAGUUCUCAUAAAUUAAUAAAAGACAAGCUAUCCAACAAAAAUAAGGCAAAGGGUAUGGAAAAACAGUUCACUGGAGAAAAAUCAAAAUGGUAACAAAUACCUGAAGAAUGGUCACUGUCACUAGUGGUCAGGGAAAUGCACCGUAAGUAACAGUGUGCUCCCUCUUUAGUCCCACCGCACUGGCGACAAUUUCUAAGAGCCAACAUACGCAUUCCCUCUGAGCCCGGGGUCCCUUUCCUGGGCGUAUAUCCUACAGAAAUAAAAUAUCAAAAUGCGGAGUUCUACCUGUAGAUGUUAUUGCGGCCUUGUUUGUGGUGCUAAAAAAAUCUGGAGACGAGUAAGUGCCCACUAAGAAGGGAAUGGAUACAAAUUCAUGGGCCCAUCACAUCAUAACAUACUGUGCAACUUUCAAAAAAAGAAUUUAAAGCCAUACCAGCUGACUUGGGGAAUUUCUAUGACAUACUUCUGAUCGAGAAAUUCAUGAUGCUGAAAAGCUUGUAUAAAAUGAUUUCCAUUGUUGUUAAAUAAGUAAAGACCCAUCUUAGUUUAUAUAUGAGUGUGCAGGUGAACAGGGAGAAAAAGAUAGACAAGGAUACCUGCUAGAUUUUCAGCACUCUCGGGGGAGGAGGUGUUGGGGAGGGGGCCAGCAGAAAAGAAAAAGGAAAGAAAAGACUACAGUACACCCCCCCUCCCAUAUCUAUGACAUGAUUCAAUUUAUAAUUUUUAAAAAAUCAGUAUUAUAUUUACGUGUAUAUUUAUUUUUUAUAUGUGUGUAUACAUAUGUGCCCAAGUUACUUCCUGGGGAAAAAAAGAAAUUAACAUAAAUAGUGGUUUUCAAAAAUAUGCUUAGUGGUACCUAGAAUUUAUAUGGCAGCUUUUUCUCAAAGAAUUCUUAGUGCUUUAAUGGAGACCAUUCAUUCCAUCCUCAUGACUUCCUGGGAGAUGUGACCUUUACAUGUCGGAGCCCCCAGGGCGUUCUGCGUGGCUCCAGGGAUGGACGUCUGCGGUGAGGUGGCUGGAGCAGCCUCGCUUUCUCUUUGUGUGAGAGUGCUCAGGGAGCUGGACUGUGUGGCUCGGCUCUUCCUGCCUGCAGGGCUCUGAGUUUCUCCAGGCUCCUUUGCAAUGUGCUUACUCCUCCAGACACAACUCACCAUCUUAGAUUCAAGGGAGAGCUUCAAGGCUUUACCCGGCUGCUGCGGGUUCUGGAACCCAAUCAAGACACAAAUGAAAAGAGAACGAUCCGUCAAGGAAUACCCUCACGAACAACUUUCAGGAACUGACGGAGCAAGAUCCCCAAGUGAGAGAACUAGUUCUCUAAGCAGUGGAUCCACCGAUCAGUACUGUAAAAGCCAUGGGGGUCUUCCCUACAGAGGCUGACCCGGGUGGCGUGAAGAGCAUGGGUUUGGAAUGUGAGAGUUAAGGAUGAAAUUCUGGUUUUAGUACUUCCUGGGAAAAUUAUUUAACCUUUCUGAGCUUGAAAACCCAAUCCUCUUCAAAUAAUUCUUAUUUACCAGAUUGUGGCAAGCUUCUAGUGAGCUGAGGAGUCUGAAAGCAUCUAACACUACCUGGCGCCUAGGAGGAUCCACACAGAAGAUGCUGCCAAGUUGUGGGGACACUCAAGCAGGCUCUGGAGAGGCCCGCGUGGAGAAGAACAGGUCUGCCAGCAACCGUGGGGGUGAGCUUGGAAGCACAUCGUUCAGCAUCAAGCCUCAGAUAACUGCAGUUCUGACUGACCCCUUAAUUGAAAUCUCACGAGAGACUCUGAGCCAGAAUCACCUAGCUGAGCUGCUUUUGGAUUCCCGACCCAGAGAAGCUGUGAGAUAAGAAAUACUUGCUGUUUUGAGGAUAGUUUAUUAUGCAGCAGUAGAUAUCUGUUCCCAGUUGUUUACCCUUCUCUGCAUCAAUGCCCUUUGCUCUGCAGAAUUGCAGUUUUUCCUGCCAGAGGUAGAAUAUUUUUCCCCACCUCAUUGAUGGUGAGCUUGGCCAUGUAACUUGCUUUGGACAAUGAAGUGUGGGCAAAUAUGACAAUAUGUCCAUUCUUAGUUACUGAGGACUUCAGAUGUGCCAUGUGUUUCUGCUCACCUUUCUGGGAGCUACCACCCUGCUAGCUGAUGCCCUUUCAGCCUGGGCCCCAUGAGGGAUGCACGUUAACAGAGCCACUCCAGCCAGUUUGCAGACCUGGGAGCCUGAGAAUAAAUCACUGUUAUUUCAAGCCACUGAUUUUAGAGUGAUUUUUACAUAGAAUUAAUGUGGCAACAAGUGAUUGAUGCUAUCCCCUUGGAUAUGUCAGCAGAAAAGGAGGCAUGAAGAUUGGAAAUGGUCAAUGAGAUUAGGAAUCCAGGUCAUGACUACAUUUGGAAGGGCCUUGAGAGCCAAGUUAUGGAGUUCAGACUUCAUUCUGUAGGGCACCCAGGACCAUUCAAAGUGUCCGUGAAGGACACUUUGGCGACAGUACAGAGAAUGGAUUAAACAGGGUGAAACUAGAGGCCAAAGCCAGGUAGAAACUUUGAAGAGUCCAUCUGAGAUGUGACAAGGGUCUGAAUUAGGGCAUGGGCAGUGGCAGUGAAAGGGGAGUGUGGAUAUGACCUUGAGACUAUCCCCUGAAACAACUUGUCUGUUUACCGAGGGAAUGUGUGGGGAGAGAAAGUCUCCCACUGCAGACUUAGACCUGCAUUAAGCCAUGAAGCCUGUUGGUUGGAAGGGCUGGAAUAACCUGGUUAAAUUUCCAGGCAGAUCUUAUUAUUCUCUCCUCUUCGAUCUAGGGAAGAAACGCAAGUUAGUCCAUAGGAGGUUGGGCAAAGCCACUGCCCAAGUGCCUGCUGGGGCACAUCUGAGCCUAAAGUGGGUAUUCACGCUGCUUUCCGGAGAACAUUCUUUUUGUAUACAUGUAGACUACUCUCCUUGACCCAACUCCAG
rnacentral:lncRNA from 1 species